AUGUUUUGCCAAGGCUGCACUGCAGCAUCUACUCAAAGGUAUUAUCCCACUACUGGACAGCACGGGGGAUUUGACCUGCUUCGUUUCCGACCUGGGCCGGUUCACCCCUCCUUAGACAACCUGGUGGUCUCGAUGUUUUGCCAAGGCUGCACUGCAGCAUCUACUCACAGGUAUUAUCCCACUACUGGACAGCACGGGGGAUUUGACCUGCUUCGUUUCCGACCUGGGCCGGUUCACCCCUCCUUAGACAACCUGGUGGUCCCAGGCUCCCCCAGGAACACCAUAUCGAUACCGAACUUAGCCGUGGACACCCGUUCGACAUAGCGUGCUGCAGCCCAGAGCUCCUCAGCUCACUUGAUCCACCAACCUCAGCCUCCCAGUGACUUGGAUUACAGGCACAUGCCACUGCACCCGGCGAGAUAUUCAGCUGCAGGUAAAGGUGAUAGAGGUAGGAGUGUGUGACAUAAUUACGAAGGAUGGUUGUAGGCUAAAGGCCUUUGCAUGGUAUAAACUAAGAAGUGCUGCUUCUAUAAAGCUAGUGCAUACACUGUCAUUGGAUGUCCAGUUGGUCCCUUGGUAGGUUUUGGUUUGAUUUGAAGAUAUUGGUACAUAUGCAGAAACACACAAGAAAUGUGAUGUCAUGCAAAAACAGGUAAAAUAUAUAUAAUCUGCCUAAAUAUAUCAUCAAAGGUGUAUCAUCAAAAGUUGUACACAACAAAUAGGGAAAACACCAAAUCAAUAGAUAUGCAUAUCAAAUGCCUUUAGUGAUGGUGAAUGUAAUUUGCCUAGUUUGAGAGCUCUUUCCCAAUGCAAUUAUGCAGUCUAAAAUAUGCACAGUGUGAUUUCAAUUGUUUUCUGAUUAUUGUCAAAUAUAUGAAUUAUUAUAUUUGAAAUUAUGUAACAACAUUCCAACCUUGUAUAACUUAAUCUAGUACAAACAUAUGACAUGAUUCCACUUUUUGUAUUCGUUUGCAUCACCUUCAAUAAGGGACUUAAUUGAAGGUGAAUCUCAAAUUCCAAUGAUUUGGCUAAUCAUUAUUGUGGCUCAUUUCACACAAGUAAAUGAACCUAUCCGAACUGUCUGUCUGUCGAUGGUGAUGGGAGAGCUGGCCUCAGUUUCAUGCUAGGCAUCGCGCUAGCACUUACUCCUCCCUCAACGGUCCGUGCUGCAUUUUGUUGCCGGUAUUCACACAUUUCGUCAGUAGUAGUCAGUAUAAUUCUCGAUUAUCAGAAGGUAUAACGGUAAUUGUUUUUGGAAAGCUGCAAAACAGUGUCGACUUUUCAUGGUCUGCUAAACAUUUCGAAGUGACAAUUCGUGUAGCAGAUAAAAAUAGGUUUUUAAAAAAUGAAAAGAUUAGGUCUCGAUGUUUUGCCAAGGCUGCACUGCAGCAUCUACUCAAAGGUAUUAUCCCACUACUGGACAGCACGGGGGAUUUGACCUGCUUCGUUUCCGACCUGGGCCGGUUCACCCCUCCUUAGACAACCUGGUGGUCCCAGGCUCCCUCAGGAACACCAUAUCGAUACCGAACUUAGCGUGGACACCCGUUCGACAUAGCGUGCUGCAGCCCAGAGCUCCUCAGCUCACUUGAUCCACCAACCUCAGCCUCCCAGUGACUUGGAUUACAGGCACAUGCCACUGCACCCGGCUGAGAUAUUCAGCUGCAGGUAAAGGUGAUAGAGGUAGGAGUGUGUGACAUAAUUACGAAGGAUGGUUGUAGGCUAAAGGCCUUUGCAUGGUAUAAACUAAGAAGUGCUGCUUCUAUAAAGCUAGUGCAUACACUGUCAUUGGAUGUCCAGUUGGUCCCUUGGUAGGUUUUGGUUUGAUUUGAAGAUAUUGGUACAUAUGCAGAAACACACAAGAAAUGUGAUGUCAUGCAAAAACAGGUAAAAUAUAUAUAAUCUGCCUAAAUAUAUCAUCAAAGGUGUAUCAUCAAAAGUUGUACACAACAAAUAGGCAAAACACCAAAUCAAUAGAUAUGCAUAUCAAAUGCCUUUAGUGAUGGUGAAUGUAAUUUGCCUAGUUUGAGAGCUCUUUCCCAAUGCAAUUAUGCAGUCUAAAAUAUGCACAGUGUGAUUUCAAUUGUUUUCUGAUUAUUGUCAAAUAUAUGAAUUAUUAUAUUUUAAAUUAUGUAACAACAUUCCAACCUUGUAUAACUUAAUCUAGUACAAACAUAUGACAUGAUUCCACUUUUUGUAUUCGUUUGCAUCACCUUCAAUAAGGGACUUAAUUGAAGGUGAAUCUCAAAUUCCAAUGAUUUGGCUAAUCAUUAUUGUGGCUCAUUUCACACAAGUAAAUGAACCUAUCCGAACUGUCUGUCUGUCGAUGGUGAUGGGAGAGCUGGCCUCAGUUUCAUGCUAGGCAUCGCGCUAGCACUUACUCCUCCCUCAACGGUCCGUGCUGCAUUUUGUUGCCGGUAUUCACACAUUUCGUCAGUAGUAGUCAGUAUAAUUCUCGAUUAUCAGAAGGUAUAACGGUAAUUGUUUUUGGAAAGCUGCAAAACAGUGUCGACUUUUCAUGGUCUGCUAAACAUUUCGAAGUGACAAUUUGUGUAGCAGAUAAAAAUAGGUUUUAAAAAAAUAAAAAGAUUAGGUCUCGAUGUUUUGCCAAGGCUGCACUGCAGCAUCUACUCACAGGUAUUAUCCCACUACUGGACAGCACGGGGGAUUUGACCUGCUUCGUUUCUGACCUGGGCCGGUUCACCCCUCCUUAGACAACCUGGUGGUCCCAGGCUCCCCCAGGAACACCAUAUCGAUACCGAACUUAGCGUGGACACCCGUUCGACAUAGCGUGCUGCAGCCCAGAGCUCCUCAGCUCACUUGAUCCACCAACCUCAGCCUCCCAGUGACUUGGAUUACAGGCACAUGCCACUGCACCCGGCGAGAUAUUCAGCUGCAGGUAAAGGUGAUAGAGGUAGGAGUGUGUGACAUAAUUACGAAGGAUGGUUGUAGGCUAAAGGCCUUUGCAUGGGAAAAACUAAGAAGUGCUGCUUCUAUAAAGCUAGUGCAUACACUGUCAUUGGAUGUCCAGUUGGUCCCUUGGUAGGUUUUGGUUUGAUUUGAAGAUAUUGGUACAUAUGCAGAAACACACAAGAAAUGUGAUGUCAUGCAAAAACAGGUAAAAUAUAUAUAAUCUGCCUAAAUAUAUCAUCAAAGGUGUAUCAUCAAAAGUUGUACACAACAAAUAGGGAAAACACCAAAUCAAUAGAUAUGCAUAUCAAAUGCCUUUAGUGAUGGUGAAUGUAAUUUGCCUAGUUUGAGAGCUCUUUCCCAAUGCAAUUAUGCAGUCUAAAAUAUGCACAGUGUGAUUUCAAUUGUUUUCUGAUUAUUGUCAAAUAUAUGAAUUAUUAUAUUUGAAAUUAUGUAACAACAUUCCAACCUUGUAUAACUUAAUCUAGUACAAACAUAUGACAUGAUUCCACUUUUUGUAUUCGUUUGCAUCACCUUCAAUAAGGGACUUAAUUGAAGGUGAAUCUCAAAUUCCAAUGAUUUGGCUAAUCAUUAUUGUGGCUCAUUUCACACAAGUAAAUGAACCUAUCCGAACUGUCUGUCUGUCGAUGGUGAUGGGAGAGCUGGCCUCAGUUUCAUGCUAGGCAUCGCGCUAGCACUUACUCCUCCCUCAACGGUCCGUGCUGCAUUUUGUUGCCGGUAUUCACACAUUUCGUCAGUAGUAGUCAGUAUAAUUCUCGAUUAUCAGAAGGUAUAACGGUAAUUGUUUUUGGAAAGCUGCAAAACAGUGUCGACUUUUCAUGGUCUGCUAAACAUUUCGAAGUGACAAUUCGUGUAGCAGAUAAAAAUAGGUUUUUAAAAAAUGAAAAGAUUAGGUCUCGAUGUUUUGCCAAGGCUGCACUGCAGCAUCUACUCAAAGGUAUUAUCCCACUACUGGACAGCACGGGGGAUUUGACCUGCUUCGUUUCCGAC
rnacentral:lncRNA from 1 species